UUUGAGAGUUUGAUCCUGGCUCAGGAUGAACGCUGGCGGCGUGGAUAAGGCAUGCAAGUCGAGGGCCGAUUUUGAUCGGCCCGGCAAACGGGUUAGUAACGCAUAGGAACGUACCCUCGAGUCUCGAAUAAUCCCUCGAAAGGGGGAAUAAUGCGAGAUAGUUCUCUUCGGAGUAAAGAUUUAUCGCUUGAGGAGCGGCCUGUGUCCUAUCAGCUUGUUGGCGGGGUAAAGGCCCACCAAGGCUAUGACGGGUAGGGGAUGUGAGAGCAUGAUCCCCAACAUUGGGACUGAGACACUGCCCAAACACCUACGGGUGGCUGCAGUCGAGAAUCUUCGGCAAUGGGCGAAAGCCUGACCGAGCGACGCCGCGUGGAGGAUGAAGGCCUUCGGGUUGUAAACUCCUUUUGCAAGGGAAGAAAUGUUGGAUACGGCUGACGGUACCUUGCGAAUAAGAGGUUGCUAACUCUGUGCCAGCAGCAGCGGUAAUACAGAGACCUCAAGCGUUAUCCGGAUUUAUUGGGCGUAAAGCGUGUGUAGGUGGCGAUGAUAGUCAGAUGUCAAAUUCCAGCGCUCAACGUUGGAGCUGCAUCUGAAACGUCAUCACUAGAGGCAAGUAGAGGCUCAUGGAACAUAUGGUGUAGCAGUGAAAUGCGUUGAUAUCAUAUGGAACGCCAAAGGAGAAGUCAGUGAGCUGGGCUUUGCCUGACACUGAGACACGAAAGCGUGGGUAGCGAACGGGAUUAGAUACCCCGGUAGUCCACGCCCUAAACGUUGCCAACUAGGUCUUGGAAGUAUCGACCCUUUCAGGACCGUAGCUAACGCGUUAAGUUGGCCGCCUGGGAAGUACGGCCGCAAGGCUAAAACUCAAAGGAAUAGACGGGGACCCGCACAAGCGGUGGAGCACGCGGUUCAAUUCGUCAACAAGCGAGGAACCUCACCAGGGCUUGAAAUCCUACUGCAAAUCCCGAGAAAUCGGGACUUCUUCGAGAGUGUAGGACAGGUGCUGCAUGGUUGUCGUCAGCUCGUGCCGUGAGGUGUUCCGUUAAGUCGGGAAACGAGCGCAACCCCUGUCGAGUGUUACUUAUGUCACUCGAGACUGCCCAGCCCAGAGUUUUCGAAUCAUCGAAAAUUUCGGGCUGGGAGGAAGGUGGGGAUGACGUCAAAUCAGCAUGGCCCUCUGACGCCCUGGGCGACACGCAUGCUACAAUGGCCGGUACAAUGGGUUGCCAAACCGCGAGGUGGAGCCAAUCCCAUAAAGCCGGUCCCAGUUCGGAUUGGAGUCUGCAACUCGACUCCAUGAAGCCGGAAUCGCUAGUAAUCGUGAAUCAGCCAUGUCACGGUGAAUACGUUCUCGGGUCUUGUACUCACCGCCCGUCACACCAAGAGAGUCGGUAAUACCCAAAGUGCCACGCAAGUGGUCCUACGGUAGGAUCGAUAAUAAGGGUGAAGUCGUAAGGGAGAAACAUGAACAAGGCAUCCGUAGCGGAAGCUGUGGAUGGAUCACCUCCUU
rnacentral:rRNA from 1 species